rnacentral:rRNA from 1 species
CCCUUAGAUGUCCCGGGCCGCACGCGCGCUACACUGAGUGUCUGAGAUACGAGUCUGCCUAGCCGGCGAGGUCUAGGUAAUCGCUGAAAGACACAUCAUCCUUGGGAUAGAUUAUUGCAGAUAUUAAUCUUGAACGAGGAAUUCCUAGUAAGCGCAAGUCAACAGCUUGCGUUGAUUACGUCCCCGCCCUUUGUGCACACCGCCCGUCGCUACUACUGAUUGGAUGUUUAAGCGAGGUUCUCGAACUGCUAGCGACUUAGCUUCGGUGAGGUCGCCGUGUGGGAAGUGAACCUAGCUUUGGUGUCUAGAGGAAGUAAAAGUCGUAUCA